rfam:Felis catus isolate Cinnamon breed Abyssinian chromosome B2, whole genome shotgun sequence.
GCCUGGGUGGCUCAGUCGGUUGAGCGGCUGACUUCGGCUCAGGUCAUGAUCUCGCGGUCCGUGAGUUCGAGCCCCGCGUCGGGCU